rnacentral:rRNA from 1 species
AGUGAACGCUGGCGGUAGGCCUAACACAUGCAAGUCGAACGGCAGCACAGUAAGAGCUUGCUCUUACGGGUGGCGAGUGGCUUACGGGUGAGGAAUACAUCGGAAUCUACUUUUUCGUGGGGGAUAACGUAGGGAAACUUACGCUAAUACCGCAUACGACCUACUGGUGAAAGCAGUGGAUCUUCGUACCUUGCGCGAUUGAAUGAGCCGAUGUCGGAUUAGCUAGUUGGCGGGGUAAAGGCCCACCAAGGCGACGAUCCGUAGCUGGUCUGAGAGGAUGAUCAGCCACACUGGAACUGAGAAACGGCCCAGACUCCUACGGGAGGCAGAAGUGGGGAAUAUUGGACAAUGGGCGCAAGCCUGAUCCAGCCAUACCGCGUGGGUGAAGAAGGCCUUCGGGUUGUAAAGCCCUUUUGUUGGGAAAGAAAAGCAGCAGGUUAAUACCCCGCUGUUCUGACGGUACCCAAAGAAUAAGCACCGGCUAACUUCGUG